CUGCCCCACUCACUAAAGCUUUGAUUUAAUCCAGCUCAGCUAGAACAGGCAGCUGCCACAGGGAUUGGGCUCACCCAACAGCAAGCCCUCAGGCAACUUGUGGGCCUACAUAGGCUGGGUGCCUGGAUCCUCAGCAGGCAGCUGCUGUUUGGGUAGGCAAAGUGACAGUGGGGAGACCCAUCCAGAGGCCAUUGUACACAUGUCAUCCGGAGAUGAUGGUGACUGGACCAGUGUGGUGACCGAAAAGAUGGAUAGAAGGAAGCAGACUCCAGAUGCAUUUUGAAGGUGGAGCUGAAAGAACCUCCCAACAACAGAUUGGAUACGCGGAGUGAAGGGAAGGGAGGAAUCAAGGAUGCCUCUUGGGGUUUUGUCUCAAGCAAGGUGUCUUCCUAUUAAAUAUGGGGACCACGAGGACCCUCUGCUAUGUUCUUAGUGGACAUCACAGAUGUGGAAGAGACACGGCCUUUGGAAUCAGAUUUGUUUCUGUUUCCCAGAUCUGCAAUUUAAUAUAUGUGAACCUGGAUGUUUCAGUUGGGAAUGACAAAUUCAUACGCUAUAGGGCUCAAGCAGUUACAACGAUGAGGAAGAAGGCAACAGGGAGUGGUGUGGACUGGUCCAAAGUGGAGAAUGCUGCCCCAUCUUUCUCCAGACAGCAAGAGAGGAGAGCAAGCAUGAACUGGAGUGAUUAACGGCUCUUUUCUGACCACAUGCCCUCAUCUGUAAGACAAUGUGGGGAAAGCCCCCUUUCUAUGUUUUAUUUUGCAUUCCCAGGAUAUGGCCAAGGUGGCAGGGACAUAGGAGAGAAGAGGGGAGGAAUUCCAGUUUGAGAUCCAGAAGUCCUCUCCUUUGAUUUAAGGCAGUGCUACAGCAGUUAAAGACAUGUCCGACCCGUCUCCAUACAUCCUUCUCUCUGCCCUGCUCCCAGCUCUCCCAGUACCCACCGUCUUUGGGAACACUCUCCCUUUUUUGGAGCUUGUUCUGUGAUGAGGGCCCACUGCCUCCUAAUGAUCUCCCCCAUUCAACCAGAUACUUCAUCUUUGAUGACAUGCCCUAAGGUCCUGAAGAAACCUAGGCUUUCUGCACAAGUAACCAAAACUUUUCAGUAGAAUUCAGUUAGGCAACUGGCUAUUUUGAGCCUAACAGGCAGUUUGUUUGGUUUUUGUGUGUGUUUGUUUCUUUACUAUUGAGAAAGUCACAAAUUGACUUCUGUCCAUAAGAAGCAGAUCCAGACCAUUUCUUUAUUAAUGCUUGGAGUCAAAAUUUUGAGAACUACAAUAUAACUAUAAAAGACAUUAAAGCUCUUUUUAAGGAAUCGAAAGAAG
rnacentral:lncRNA from 1 species